rnacentral:rRNA from 1 species
GUCCUUUAGGUAAUUAUAAUUUAAGGUCUAACCUGCCCAUUGAUAAGUUAAAAGGCCGCAGUAAUUUGACUGUGCAAAGGUAGCAUAAUCAUUAGUUUUUUAAUUAAAAGCUUGUAUGAAUGGUUGGACGAGAUAAAAUCUGUCUCUUUAUAAAAAAUAGAAUUUAAUUUUUAAGUUAAAAAGCUUAAAUUUAUAUAAAAGACGAGAAGACCCUAUAGAUCUUUAUAUAAUUUUAUAUAGUAUUAAUAAAGUUAAUUUAAUUUACUAUAAUAAAUUAUAUUUUAUUGGGGUAAUAAAAAGAUUAAUAUAAUUCUUUUUUUUUGAUACAAUAAUUAUUGAUUUUAUGAUCCAUUAUUAAUGAUUAUAUGAUUAAGUUACCUUAGGGAUAACAGCGUAAUUUUUUUAGAGAGUUCUUAUCAAUAAAAAAGUUUGCGA